rnacentral:rRNA from 1 species
AGAGUUUGAUCAUGGCUCAGGACGAACGCUGGCGGCGUGCUUAACACAUGCAAGUCGAACGAGGUGCUUGCACCUAGUGGCGAACGGGUGAGUAACACGUGAGCAACCUGCCCUUGGCUCUGGGAUAGCCUCCGGAAACGGGGAUUAAUACCGGACAUGACCUGCUCCUGCAUGGGGGCGGGUGGAAAGUUUUUCGGCCAGGGAGGGGCUCGCGGCCUAUCAGCUUGUUGGGGGGGUAACGGCCCACCAAGGCGACGACGGGUAGCCGGCCUGAGAGGGCGACCGGCCACACUGGGACUGAGACACGGCCCAGACUCCUACGGGAGGCAGCAGUGGGGAAUAUUGCACAAUGGGGGAAACCCUGAUGCAGCGACGCCGCGUGCGGGAUGAAGGCCUUCGGGUUGUAAACCGCUUUCAGCAGGGGCGAAUUUAAGACGGUACCUGCAGAAGAAGCGCCGGCUAACUACGUGCCAGCAGCCGCGGUAAUACGUAGGGCGCAAGCGUUGUCCGGAAUUAUUGGGCGUAAAGAGCUCGUAGGCGGCCAGUUGCGUCCGCUGUGAAAUCCUGGGGCUUAACCCCGGGCGUGCAGUGGAUACGGGCUGGCUAGAGGCAGGCAGGGGAGAACGGAAUUCCCGGUGUAGCGGUGAAAUGCGCAGAUAUCGGGAGGAACCCGGUGGCGAAGGCGGGUUCUCUGGGCCUGUACUGACGCUGAGGAGCGAAAGCGUGGGGAGCGAACAGGAUUAGAUACCCUAGUAGUCC